CUCCUACUGACACACAUGCCGACAGACACACAGACACACGCCGACAGACACACAGACAUAUACUGACAGAUACACAGACACAUACUGACAGACACACAGACACACACACACUGACAGAGACACACACACACAGACAGACUUUACUUUAUUGCUCCCUACCUUUUGGAGCUGAUCUGGGGCAUCUCCCUGGGGUCCUUCUAUUUGCUCCUCACUGUUCCCUUGCGCGGUUUAGUGGUGCCGGAAUAGGACUUCAUAUUCCGGCACCCGGCUUCACUACAGACGGCGCGAGGGAGCAGUGAGGAGCAGGAGCACUGAACUCCCUCGCUGGCCCUCCUCCCCUGCCGGGUAAGUGUUAGCAGAGUAGGUACCUGCAAUGUGGGGAAAGCAAGUGCCUACUCUGCUAUAACACUGAGCAUGCACUCACGGCUUGACAUGCUUGCUUUAUAUUAUAUACUGUUAAUAUACCUCUCUAUGUCCUCUUGGGAUCUUCUCCAUAGAACAAAACACAAUACUCUAGGUGAGAUCUUACCGGGAUAUAUAAAGUAC